GAUGCGUUAGACCACUUUAGACCAGAGCCAGUGCAGACACCCCUUGCGGCCAAUCCGUUCAAUAACAGGUAGACCACUUUGGAUGCUUCUGGAUGGGAGGAGAGGGGUGCAAAUUACCAAGCAGGGGAAAGUCUCACCGGUCAGGUCUCUGACAGAGACUAUGGCUCUGUGGCUCAGAAAGGAAAGGAGUGAAAUUUGGCGAGCUUUAUCCUGAGGGUAGUCUUUGUUAGGUGAGCAGAAAAGAGGUACUGAGGACGAGAACGAGAUUUCUCAAUGGUAUGCGGUCGAUAUACUAACCAGUAUAUAGGCAGGAAAAUGGAGCCGGUUCUGCAAACUUUGAAAGAACAUUCAGUUUAAACUGUGACUGAAAUGUUAGGAUUUGGAACGAAGUCUUGAGAUAUCUGUAUCACUGGGCGCACCUGCUCGGAAGCUGCGACCUCUGCAAACCGAGCGGUUUAUUUCAUUUCAAUUCAAUUCUUUUCAAGUUUAUUUGCAAUUCCAUCACAUAUGACCGCCAGGGCCAAGCUUCAAAACGCAAUACCAACUGUCACACGAUACACCAAGCUCACAUAAUAUGUAUAAAAUAGCAAGAUAGCAAGCAUAUGUAGGGUAUCAGUGAGAUAUAUUCACGCUUUAUGUACAGGCGCACACACGCACGCGCGCGCACGAGCACAUGUAUAUAUAAUCAGCUUGAGGUCCUAGACAGUGUAAAAGCCACCGAAAUCUAGAAACUACAACAACUGCUCUUGUGUUCUGCCGAAUGAACACUGGGAGACAGCACAGACUCCUGCCUGGAGAUCGCGCCACACCGCCCCUCGUUGUGCAGCUCCUUCAUUUUCUCCGCCAUCUGGCAACUCUCUCAGUUUACACCUGAACCGGAGUGGAACUAAUAUCCCAGCGGGAAGGUUUGCCAUUAAGAAAGGGGUCGAUGUGUUGUUUAAGCCAGAGUUGCAGGGGGAUGAUAACCAGAAUGAUUGAACAGAAAGUUGAGUCAUUGUUGGGACAGAUGUUGUUAAGUCCUCAGAUAAAGUCAGCGAGCAAAACGUUGAACCUGCUGGAUCUCAUGUUCUGAGCUACGUCCAUUUCAAAGCAAUAAGUAUUAUACGAAGAGCAGAUGAGCUCAGGGUCGGAGCCAACGAUUGAAAGCAUGAGAGUUUAGCCAUUGGUAAGAUUUGUUUGCAGGAGGGGCAAGUCUGUUAGCUCAGCCUUCCAGUUUACCGCUGUUUUUGUCGUACUAAUGUUUAUAUAAUUUAAGCUAAGGUGGGGCUUCAGAGGUGGAACUGAGGAAUGAGAAGGGUAUGAACUCGUUCAUGGGGCAACAUUAUCGACCACCGUACAGUCGGGGGAUUUAGAGGAACAAAUCUGUGGAGAGUUCGGAGUCUGUUGUAAGAGACAUCAGGUUGUGGCAUCGGCGACCGAGGAAGAGAGAUGAAUAGGUCGACGUGUAUACGAUAAUGAGAGGCAUUUAUCAGUGGAUAGUGUUACGAAGGAUGAAUAACUCUGGUGGGCAGAAGGGUGCAAGGUUGUCAAUGUCCCCCUCCCCUGGGAGAAUCACAAACUGUUGCUGUUACCACGCUGCUAACGAGAGAGUAGGAGAGACAAAAGAAAACAUGCCAGGACAUCUGUUACCGAUAACAGCCUGAGAGAGAGUUAUGUUUAUCCACCAUGUUAUGACUCCCGAAAGACGUAUGGCUGCGGAGAGGGCUGUUUACUUGGUACUAUUCUGUUCAUUAAAAUUCCUCAGUGGGCAGCCGGAGUGGGCUGGUUUGAUGGGCUAAGCCAUUCAAAACUGAUUGACACCUGAGACCCCGUGAGUGGGGAUAAAAGUGAGGUCUGGGGUGUCAGCCCCUCAGACGCAGCAGGAGACACACUAGUGAUCAUCAGAAACCCACGAGAAAGUGUGGGGCAUCGGGGACCGAACGGAUCGGUCAAUUUCACUCACAGCGGUUAUAGCAAGGCCGGUGGGGGCUUGUGUGUGUGUCCACCUUUGCCGGAGUGACGAGUCCACCACGGAAGAACGGUUUAGCUAAAGAACAGAGGGGUCAUACCUCAAUGGCCACAACGAAACGACGGAUCCAGAAAGUAAAGGAAGGUUUGGAAGACAAUAGCUGUCACUGUUUGAUCGUCCUCUCUCUCUCUCUCUCUCUCUCUCUCUCUCUCUCUCUCUC